CACCUCUUCCCAUUCCGAACAGAGAAGUUAAGCCUCGUCACGCCGAUGGUACUGCUAUAUUGUGGGAGAGUAGGUAGCCGCCGUUU
rnacentral:rRNA from 1 species